CAGCCGCCGCGGUAAUACAGAGGGUGCGAGCGUUAAUCGGAUUUACUGGGCGUAAAGCGUGCGUAGGCGGCUUUUUAAGUCGGAUGUGAAAUCCCUGAGCUUAACUUAGGAAUUGCAUUCGAUACUGGGAAGCUAGAGUAUGGGAGAGGAUGGUAGAAUUCCAGGUGCAGCGGUGAAAUGCGUAGAGAUCUGGAGGAAUACCGAUGGCGAAGGCAGCCAUCUGGCCUAAUACUGACGCUGAGGUACGAAAGCAUGGGGAGCAAACAGGAUUAGAUACCCGUGUAGUCCCUGUCUCUUAUAC
rnacentral:rRNA from 1 species